rnacentral:tRNA from 2 species
GAGCCAUUAGCUUAGUUGGUAGAGCAUCUGACUUUUAAUCAGAGGGUCAGAGGUUCGAAUCCUCUAUGGCUCACUA